GCACGUCUAUCAAAAUUCGGGCGCCCUCCCCUCCUAGCGUUCAAAGGACCACCCCCUCCUGUCGGCUAGGAAGGGAACAACUGUCUGUCUAUCUUAGGCAGCGCAUGUGAUGAUUGGAGGAUAUCCCACCAGGUCUUCCCGCCUCCUUCCGGCCAGCUCCGCCUUGAAGCUUCCCGGCGGGCUCCGCGCUAAGCGGAUGUCGAGAGACUCUGCUGUGGAUCAUUAAGAUGGCCCGCCUCUCCGUCGCCGCAAUUAGCUGAGCAAAACGUGACGUUGCAGGGCUCUUGUUCCAGUCCCUUCGAGAGACUGGCCAAGAACGACAGGGACCAUUGGCCCACAAGGAGGUAGGCGGGGCUUUGGGCGGAAGCGAUUGGCUCCCAGGAACAUCAGUCAUCAACGUUCGGUGGCUUCUCCGGAACUGGGGCGCGUGGGCGAGCUAGGGGAAAAUGCCGAGUCGCUGUGAGUAGAUGUGGAGGCGUUCUCAUCAGGGGUCCUGAAACUUGUCAGGAGUCGUAGUGAAUGUCAGUGCGAUGAGCCAUAACCUUGUACUGGACUGUGCCGAGUUCUGAAGACCUGUGGCCUCCUAGUCCUUUGCAUGAAACACCCAUCUCCCUUUGUUUGGCCAACUCCCACGCGGCAAUUUGGACUCCAUCUCCUCCAGGAAGUUUCCCUGGAUCUGCAGAAAGUUACUCCUGGCCUGAAGAUGGAUGCCAAUUGCUGGGCCUCCUCGUGCUCAGAUGACCUUCUUCCUUCCGACUCCUAACACUGUUUAGUGUGCGUGUGCGUGCGUGUGUCAAGUCUUGAGCGGCAAGCACUGCACCAUCUGCUGCACACGUAAGGUAUCUGGUGUGAGGCAGAGUCUCAUGGUACAGCCUGCCUUUGUCUCCAAAGUGCUGGGAUUUAAGGCUUGUGUAAACUUCUUCCAGCCAGUAUGAUUUUUCUUUUUGUUUUUUCGAGACAGAAUUUCUCUGGCUGUCCUGGAACUCGGAGAUCCUCCUGUCUCUGCCUCCCAAGCGCUGAGAUUAAAAGUGUGCGCUACCAUU